UGUUACUGGGGCUGAACAUCGUGGGAGGGCAGCUCCUCACUGGGGCUCUGCUCAGGGCGGCAGCCCCGUAGUCUUCAUGUGAACUGGCGGGUUGCAGUAAGUUACGGGGUGCCAUUCCUAUUUUAAGGGGAAAGGAAAUGUCCCUGCUCUGGAAUGGAUCAGCUGUGAGGGGGCAGGCAGGUACGUACGGGCUGAGUUUCCUGCGGAGGAGGCCGGUCUCCCAACCGCCCCAGUAACUGGGAAGCGGUAAGAAGGCGAUGUGCCCGGUCGGUGAGCUCUGAUCCCAUCCCCAGUCAGAGAGACUGAUUUAGGCUGGUCCCACUUGGGAGAGUUAGUGGUGAUAUUAACUGGAGGAAAUUCUACAGAGUAAGUAUUAGCCUUGUAUUAUGUAGAAUUUUUAAGUGCUUCAUUAAUUUACAAUUCCACUUUUUAUUAAAUUAAUUUGCAUUUUAAUGAAAAAAAUAAGUGGAUCCAGCUCUUGGAGUAGCGAUACCACGCAGCCCGUGUACGAAGGAGGGUGCCUGCGCAGGGGGGAGGCAGCCCUGCGCUCCCAGGAGCUCCCGCCCGCGCGCGGGGGCUGGGGGCUCCCUCCCAGUGCGAGGCAUCCCCUCUCCCCGGCGUCCUCGCCGAAGCCUCUGCUGGUCUGGCUGCUGGUGCAGCAGCACGCGUGGGGGUUGUAGUGCAGACUCGGGCCUCCACCAGAGUGCCGGGUGGAAGGCGCCAGGGAAAUUCAGGAGUAGGAUGCAAUGAUUCUGUCUCGCCAUGGGAAAUGCCUCUUGCUGAGGCCGACACGCAGCCUUGUGCUCCUCGACAGAGCCCGGAGAGCCGUCACGCAGCCCUACUGUCAAGCUCUUCUCCAAGAAAUAAGGGCUGUGACAGUCAAAUGCAUCAGCACUGAAGAGCCCCUGCAUCCUCUCCUCUGGGCAUGCUGGACAAAUUGAAGAGUUUAGCUGAAAGUAAAAAAAAAAAAAAAACAAAAAACAAAAAACCAAAACCUAACAAUUUCUCAUUGACAGACGCCUUUUGAAAUGUGCACCCAGUGCUUCCCUCUGACACGUGUCAGCCAGUGGCCCCGAGAAAUGCCCUCAAACCUCGGCAUCUGUUCCUAAUUGGGGAUCAUUACUCUUAAGGGGUGUCAUGACGUCGGUCUCCCUGGACUGGCAGGUAUCAAUUCUGGAGUGAGGCAGAGCAUACUUAUAUAAAGUAAAUAGCAGAAAUCAGUCUGAAAUCACUGGUGUUGAGCAACUUGGCUAGUAUUCGAAGUGUGACAAAGGUGUCAUUUUUCUCUGCAAGAUUUUGUUUGUCUGAUUUUUUUUUUGUUUGUUUGUUUGUUUAGACAGAAUUUCAGACAUGGUUAUGGCCAGGAAAGUUAAAAAAAAAAAAAAAAAGGAAUAAAAAUCCACCAGCCUCCUUGCCCCCUGGCCCUCAGAUCAACAGAGAACUUUGACUCUAUUACCUCAUGGCUUACGUGCUGUGAUGACUUCAGUAACUGUAAGGCACCGGCGUGGAUCUUCUUCUGACCUGUGCCGCUGGAAGGUGGCAGGAGCGUCUGGACUCCAGGAGCGCACAGACUGUCGUUCCUUGCGACUUGGCAGAGGAACACCAGGGGCAUUGUGUGUGUGUGUAGGGGUAAGGAAAAUUGAGCAAUAAACAUCCAGAGAAAUGAGACAUUUAAACAUUCAAAGUAAUUGAUACCAGGAAAAAAAUAUGAUAGGAUGAAAUCUAUUCCUGCAAUAAACUGUCCAUUAGUUGGGCCAUCAGCAUAACCCUAAUCUAAAGUUACGAGGAUCCAUUACAGAUAUAAUCAAAUACAAUUUUCUAUAUUCCAUGAAUCAAAAGCACCAUAUGUAUUAAGAGCCUAGUUUGUCUUUUUGUUCCUGCCUUCUCCUGGAACAGUAUAUAUCUGAUUUCUUGUGUUAUAUUGCUCUGAUGUCUGCUAAGGGCACCAUGCCCUAGAAAUUCACAUUAAAUAACUGAGAGUGAGCACUAGAAAUGAAAAAAGUGAAAUACUAUCUAGACAGCUGGAAGUAAAAAUAUGAAAAGUGUUGCACUUACAGAAGGAAAAAAAGCCUAUUUUUAUGACUUGAAUAGACAGUUUGGUAUAAAGAGAAAUUCCUCACCCAAGAUCAGCCAUACAGCUGAGCUGCAGCAGGCGGCCUGAAAUGUUGUAAUGUGCAGUACAAGUACUGGCUCGAGAGGGCGGACUGGGAUGUGGCUGCAGAUGUAGAGCAGGCACAAGCACGGAGGUUCUCCAACUUGCAGGGCUAAUGAUUACUGCCAUCCCAGGGCAGGUUUUGGCUUCAUAAGCAUGUGUGCAUGAGGCUUUAAUGGGGACACUGCACGCGUGCAUGAGGCUUUAAUGGGGACACUGCAGAUGGGGUGGGGCUGCAGCCAGGAGGGGUCUGUGGGCUGCAGAUGUGUGCUCUCCAACACCCAAGGACGCUCCCUUCAUUCGCUGGGGCAUGACUCCCAGCUUGUCCUUUCUUUCCCUUUGUUUUGUAAAUUUUUCCAGUUCUCACUGUUGACCAGAUUGCCCCCCUUCAGCAGCCCCCUCCCCAGGCCCUGCCUUGCUGUCCUUGCCUCUGCUCAGCGAGGGAUGUACGUGUUUGAGCAUGUGACGAGCCCCAUUCUCGCCAGCUCAUGGACAUGUCCUAGGCCCACCUGAAGUCUCUGGGUCUCAGUACCCACCUCGCACCAACUGUCACCUUUGAAAUACAGAGAAAUCCACAGCAGGAGUGGCUUCACCAGGUUCCAGGAAGACCCGCACUGCCCACAGCUUCAGCAUCGCCCUUGGCCCUGGACUCCCCCGACGCUUUCCUUCAGCUCUGCACGCCGCAAGGUGACCCACUGGACAAACCAUGCACUCUGCAUAUUUUUGUUUCCAGGCAAUUCUCAGGGGCUUUGUUUUGACGUGAAAUGUCUUUGCUGAUGACAGAGAAACCAGCGGCCAGGGGACACUUUAUCGAAAGAGCCUAGAGGGAACUGUCCGGUUUGUAAGGGCUCACACUUCCCAUCAGAAGUUCCCCACAUCUUUGAAAACCAUUUUCCCGAAAGGUGUGUGUGACCUGCACGGGGGACCCGACAGAGGGGUUUUGGGGUGGGAAGCAGCAUCAGCAGGAGCCUGCCAUCUGGAGCGAUCUCCGGUCCUCGCCACCUCAUCAAUUCUCCAGCUGUUCUCUAAUCCCAUCUGGAAAAAAAUAAAUCUCUUCUGUCUCCCUAGCC